GCUGGACAGAGCCCGAGCCCGAGCCCGAGCCCUUCCUCCAGCUCCUCACACGGCGCUGAACAUGCUAAGAAGCUGUUGCUGGUUUUAAAAGCAGAGACACUUGUCGCAAUAGGCUGGCACCCCAGUGUUUGCUCACACAGGCAGCACAAUCCCACGCUGUACCUCAGCUUGUGCCUUGUCAGCUCUGAGCUGGGAGGGGAGAGGAGAAAGGAGGAAGCCUCCUGACCUCGGAGCCUCCAGUCAGGACUGGCUGGCUCUGCUCCGUAUGCCGAAAGCCCUGGGAAUUUUUCACUGCUCUCGGGAUGGCGUCUGGGGCGUGGGCAGGUUGGUCCCGCUUUGAACGCUCUGCUGGACUUACGGAGCUGCUCUUAGUGCUGGGCAGUGAACGCCAAGCUGUCGUGUCCACACGGCCAGGGGAAUGCCAGGGCCAAGGCCGGCAUGCGCUGAGCUUCUGCCCAGCCUGGAGUCGCCUUCACCAGACCAUGAGCACGUGAGGCACUUUCUAAGCACUGGUUGCCCGGGAGGCGCAACUGCUCAGAGGCCGAGGCAGCUCAAAGGGCUCCGACGUGCAGUGGCUCCACGGGGUCAGCGUGCCCAGAGUAAUGGGUGUCACUAGAGCACCUGGCCCAGCACACGCUUUCUGAGGACACCUGGUGGGCGCGCCCCACAGCAGGCCCCAAAGUUUCAGAGGUGCUCCACAAGGACUGACUCCACCCCGGGCACUGUGUCGGCACUGGAAACAUGAAACCCGAGCUGGGAGCCAGACAGGGGUCCUUCCUGAGAGCCUGGGAAGCCGCCUGCCCUCGUGGAAUUUACGGUCUGAGGAGUGAUGCACAUGAGGCACUUUGAAAGAUGUGAAGGACUGUGUGUAAAACACGUGCCAAUUUCUCGCUUCACAGAAGGAAUUUCCACUGCUUUCUCAGUUAAGUGUCAAGAACCUCCAAAAGAGAUGGUUCAAGAGAGCUAUAUUAUUGAAUCAGAUUAUGUUCUUUACACAUUUUAGCAUAGCUCACAAAACCAUAUGAAUGUUUCUGUUUUGAAUAUUCUCUUCCUAAAUGUUUUACAUCCUGUGGGGAGGGGCUUGGAUUCUGAUUCUGUGUUUAAAUCCUACAAGCAGGCCGGGUGCGUAGCUCACACCUAUAAUCCCUGCACUUUGGGAGGCUGAGGCGGGCAGAUCAUGAGGUCAGGAGUUUGAGACCAGCCUGACCAACAUAGUGAAACCCCGUCUCUAUUGAAAAUACGAAAAUUAGCCGGGUGUGGUGGUGGGUGCCUGUAGUUCCAGCUACUCGGGAGGCUGAGGCAGGAGAAUUGCUUGAACCAGAGAGUUGGAGAUUGCAGUGCCGCUGCACUCCAGCCUGGGCAACAGAGCGAGACUCCCUCUCAAACAAAAUAAAACAAAAAACAUCCUACAAGUGUCAAGCAUGGUGGUGCACACCUGUAGUCCCAGCUACUCUGGAGGCUGAGGUGGGAGGAUCACUUGAGCCCAGUUCAAGACCAGCCGGGGCAACAUAGUGAGACCCUGUCUCUAAAAAUAAAAUUAAAAAGGCGGCCGGGUGCAGUUGCUCACGCCUGUAAUCCCAGCAAUUUGGGAGGCAGAGGCAGGUGGAUCAUGAGGUCAGGAGAUCGAGACCAUCCUGGCCAACAUGGUGAAACCCAGUCUCUACUAAAAAUACAAAAAUUAGCUGGGUGUGGUGGUGCAUGCCUGUAAUCCCAGCUACUCG
rnacentral:lncRNA from 1 species